rnacentral:rRNA from 1 species
AGUUAGUGGCGGACGGGUGAGUAACGCGUGGAUAACCUGCCGUAUACCGGGGGAGUAACACUUAGAAAUAGGUGCUAAUACCGCAUAAGCGCACGGCUCCGCGUGGGGCAGUGUGAAAAACUCCGGUGGUAUACGAUGGAUCCGCGUCUGAUUAGCUAGUUGGCGGGGUAACGGCCCACCAAGGCAGCGAUCAGUAGCCGGCCUGAGAGGGUGGACGGCCACAUUGGGACUGAGACACGGCCCAAACUCCUACGGGAGGCAGCAG